UGAGGAAUAUUGCGCAAUGGGGGCAACCCUGACGCAGCGACGCCGCGUGAGUGAGGAAGGCCUUCGGGUCGUAAAGCUCUGUCAAAGGGAAAGAAGUGCAUGGCGGCUAAUACCUGCCAUGUUUGACGGUACCCUUAAAGGAGGCACCGGCUAACUCCGUGCCAGCAGCCGCGGUAAUACGGAGGGUGCAAGCGUUGGUCGGAAUUACUGGGCGUAAAGGGCGCGUAGGCGGUUUUAUAAGUCAGAUGUGAAAGCCCUCGGCUUAACUGGGGAAGUGCAUUUGAAACUGUGAGACUUGAGUACCAGAGGGGAAAGUGGAAUUCCCGGUGUAGAGGUGAAAUUCGUAGAUAUCGGGAGGAAUACCGGUGGCGAAGGCGACUUUCUGGCUGGAUACUGACGCUGAGGCGCGAAAGCGUGGGGAGCAAACA
rnacentral:rRNA from 1 species